rnacentral:rRNA from 1 species
AACGAACGCUGGCGGCAGGCCUAACACAUGCAAGUCGAGCGAAGCCUUCGGGCUUAGCGGCGGACGGGUGAGUAACGCGUGGGAACGUGCCCUUUGGUACGGAAUAGCCCCGGGAAACUGGGAGUAAUACCGUAUGUGGUCGAGAGACGAAAGAUUUAUCGCCAAAGGAUCGGCCCGCGUUGGAUUAGGUAGUUGGUGGGGUAAUGGCCUACCAAGCCGACGAUCCAUAGCUGGUUUGAGAGGAUGGUCAGCCACACUGGGACUGAGACACGGCCCAGACUCCUACGGGAGGCAGCAGUGGGGAAUCUUAGACAAUGGGGGAAACCCUGAUCUAGCCAUGCCGCGUGAUCGAUGAAGGCCUUAGGGUUGUAAAGAUCUUUCAGUGGGGGAGAUAAUGACUGUACCCACAGAAGAAGCCCCGGCUAACUCCGUGCCAGCAGCCGCAGUAACAC